UGUGCAUCAAACCCAGGCUUCGAGAUUCUUCAAAACUUCUGGUCUUUCAUCUAGGGUAUGUGGAUAUGGCUCCCUCACACUUGGCUUAAAUAACGGACAACUUGCAGCUGCAAUUCGUUUCCUCUUCAAAGACAAAACUGGUUGUGGUGCUUCUUUCCAGUAAAAAAAAAACCCACUUCCUGCACAAACAAAAAAAGAAAGUACCAUGGCAUUGGUGAGUGAUCUUAAUCACAUUAACCAAACAAAAUUUGUCUAAGGCUUGAACCUGUGACCCAGAAAUGAACAAAUCAGAAAUGGUGGAAUUCAUCAAAUAAAUAAUCAAAUCUAUACCGAAAGUUGUCUAAGGCAUUAACAUCAUCUCCAUCUCUUAGGACCAAAUUACUAGAAUCUAAAAGUCAAACUAUGAAUUUAAAGAGGAGAACAAUUACAAAGAUACUGAAAUAAAAAGAGGGCAUAUCCAAAACAUACACCAAGUCAAGACAAAUAUAUGCACCAACAGAAGACGACCCCAACCUAGUCUCUAAUAUGUUUACACUCACUACCGUAGGGAUUAAUGACCAGAUCAUUGGAGUAGUCAUUGAAGCUAUGGCAAAGACAAUUCUAAAUCUACCUAAGUCAACAUUUCAACAAUAAGUGGAAAUAGACACAUUUAGGAUGUCAUGACAGUUGCAAAGAAGAUUUUGUUUGGUUAUCAGUUGCAAAGAUUAUCAGUAGUGUUAAAUGGAGCUAAUUGUUAAGGAGAGGCAAAGAGACUAUACCAUUUGAUUCCCUUGCCCAUAACCAUGGGAAUGUUAUGAUUGCUUGCAUAAUUGAAACUGUUAUGAUCAGAGCAUUCAUAUGUUUAAUUCAAAAAGAGGAAUCAUCCGAGAGUUACAAAAAAGGGGUAUCUUUUCAUUUCAGUCAUAUGCAAGAUUUCAAAAGAGACAUAUAAAGGAGAUACACAUCAGAAAUCAUUGGAUGUUGGGAUAUUUUAAUUUCAGUUACACAUUAUCAUUAUCAGCAUCAUUGGUAGUAUUCAUUGUCAGCCUUAAUGCAUUAAAUCAGAAAAUCAAAAGGGUCAUGGCACUUUACAUAUUUUUGGCAAGUCAUAAGGUUUUCACAAACCAACAAAUGACCCAUAACCAGCUAUAAAAGGGGUCGGCACAGAAAACCAGAGGAUACAACAGAGAACAGAUAACACAACAGAGAGACAAAAAGAGAUAUCAUACAUACACACGUAGAAAAAGAGAUUAUUCGAAAAAACCAUAGUGCUGAAAAGAAAGGGUAUACAACUAAAAAAUAACAGAACAGUAAAGAGAAGAUGCACGAUAAGAACAAAGGUAUUCCAAAUGGCAUACCCAUUUAUCUGCAGGUUCAUCCUCUUCUUUACUCAACCAUAUUAGUUUAAUUUCAUUUUUAUUUGUGUUCCUAUCAUUAUGUGUUCAUAAUUAUGACAUAAACCCAGAUCUUUAAUAGAAAAGUAACCAACAUAUAAAUUCAAACACAAAGAAAGAAGAACAUAC
rnacentral:lncRNA from 1 species